CCUACGGGAGGCAGCAGUGAGGAAUAUUGGUCAAUGGGAGGAAUCCUGAACCAGCCAUGCCGCGUGCAGGACGACGGCUCUACGAGUUGUAAACUGCUUUUGUACCGGGGUAAAAUGCCUUACGUGUAGGGUUUUGAAAGUACGGUACGAAUAAGGAUCGGCUAACUCCGUGCCAGCAGCCGCGGUAAUACGGAGGAUCCGAGCGUUAUCCGGAUUUAUUGGGUUUAAAGGGUGCGUAGGUUGUUUUAUAAGUUAGCGGUGAAAUACCGAUGCUCAACAUCGGGGCUGCCGCUAAUACUGUAGGACGAGAGAUCGGAUGCAGCAGGCGGAAUGUGUAGUGUAGCGGUGAAAUACAUAGAUAUUACACAGAACACCGAUUGCGAAGGCAGCUUGCUAGGCCGGAUCUGACACUGAUGCACGAAAGCGUGGGGAUCGAACAGGAUUAGAUACCCGGGUAGUC
rnacentral:rRNA from 1 species